UCCCUGGUGGCUCAGACGGUAAAGCGUCUGCCUACUAUACAGGAGACCCAGGUUCAAUUUCUGGGUCAAGGAA
rfam:Ovis aries breed Texel chromosome 11, whole genome shotgun sequence.